AUACGUAGGUGGCAAGCGUUGUCCAGAUUUAUUGGGCGUAAAGCGAGCGCAGGCGGUUUUUUAAGUCUGAUGUGAAAGCCUUCGGCUCGACCGAAGAAGUGCAUCGGAAACUGGAAAACUUGAGUGCAGAAGAGGACAGUGGAACUCCAUGUGUAGCGGUGAAAUGCGUAGAUAUAUGGAAGAACACCAGUGGCGAAGGCGGCUGUCUGGUCUGUAACUGACGCUGAGGCUCGAAAGUAUGGGUAGC
rnacentral:rRNA from 1 species